AUGGGUGGUGUUCAUGCUUUGAAGAGAAUCCCUCGCAUCAAGUUCCCCAACAGGCACCUAAAAUCCUCUGGUUCUGCCUCUGAGGGUGAAGCUUUGUCUUCGACAGGCGAUGCCAGUUUAUCAUUCUUUUCAAGUUCAAAUGCUUCGGCAACAUUAGGAGGAAAGGCCUCUCUUCAGCCCAAAAGAACCCCGGUCACCAAUGAGGAGAUUGAUGCAGUUUUGUUGGGCGGCUGCUUCUAA